AUGACAAAAAACGUUGUUUGUUGCCUAAAAUUCACGAGUGACGACAACAAAAAACCACUUACCAAAACGCGAUGUUGUAACACAAGUGGAACCGAAGAUUUAGUUUUUCGUCUUCAUAACAUCACAAAAUUCGUAUUUUUGGCAAAAUACAUUCGUGCAUUGCUCUCAGUACCAGUUUUCGAUUCGAUCGACGAUGUUUCUCCUAAUAUUACUGUCAGCUGUUGUUGCGUCGUUUUUGCUUCUCCUCCUUGGAUAUUUGGAGUUGCAUCGCCAUUCACUUAAUCGUCGUUUUCGUCACAUUCCCGGACCAAAACAAUACCCGAUCAUCGGUAAUUUAACGAAACCUCCAUCAACGGACUUGACAGACUUCAAUUUCUACGUGGAACAGUUGUCAGCAGCUCCCGUAACGAAAAUGAUUGUUCCUGGUCACUUGAUUUUGGGCAUUUCGGAUCCUUCAAUUUUGCAGCAGAUUUUAAAUGCGCCCGAAUUUCUGGGACGCGUGGAGUAUUUUUUGAAAUUUACGCCGUGGAAGGAGGCAAUGUUGACAGCUGCAUGUCCGGAAAAGUGGCGCGCACUGAGAAAAGUCAUCCAACCGGCGUUUUCUCAUAAAAAUUUGGUGUCGAUUAUUCCGACUUUUAAUAAACAUUUGAAAUGUUUCACGGAAAUGUUGGAAAAAUAUGCAGAUACUGGCGUGGAUUUUGAUUUUUUUGAACUUUCUGACGCGAUUGGGAUGAAACAAGCUCUCGAAACGGUCUUGAAUGUCACGGAAAUUGAUCCGAAUUUGAUGCAUGACAUGUUUAAGAAGAUUGUCGAUAAUACUUGUGAUCGUCUUGUGCGGAUUUACGAACAUCCCGAUGUUUUUUAUGGAUUUACAGCCAAAUCUGAGGAAUGUAAAAAAAUUUCUGAAAAAUUAGAAGAAAUUUUCAAUGAAGCUAUUGAUCGAACGUUGAUGGAUGCGAAAAAUGCAAAUGCCACAAAUGUUCUGUAUUUCUUGCUGAAACAGAGACGCGGUGAAGUUAACAUGGGAUUGACGAUGGAACAAGUCAAGGAUAAUGCUCUCAUUAUGUUUGGUGCUGGUUAUGAAACAAGUGCAAUCACAAUAUCUCACGUAAUAUUGAUGUUGGCGAUGCAUCCAGAGGUCGAUAGUCGUCUCUACAAAGAAUUAAGCGAAAAUUUUAAAGUUGGAGACACAAUUGAUCAUCAUUUACUGAAAAAACUUCCGUAUUUGGAUAUGGUUUUCAAAGAAACGCUCAGAUUAUUUCCCACAGUUCCGAUUGUUUUGCGCCAAGCUAACAAAGAAAAGUUCAUCGAUGGCAUUGGACUAAUUCCCAAAGGAACAAUAGUCAUCCCGAACCUCUACCAACUCCAUCGAUGCCCCUCAAUUUGGGGCAAAGCUCCUGAAAAAUUUAAUCCCGACAAUUUCUUACCUGAAAACAUCAAUUCUCGUCAUUCCUUGAGCUUCAUUCCCUUCAGCAGUGGUCCUCGGAACUGCAUCGGCAUGGAACACGCUCAACUCAACAUCAAACUAGCCCUCGUUCACAUCUUGAGCGAGUUCAGGUUCGAAACGGAUCUCAAGAUGAAUGAACUCGAUGUGAGAUUCUCCGUUUUUGUACGCUUGAAUAACAAGUACGCGGUAAGAACGUAUCGCAGACAGCAACGGAAUCGUGAUAAAAGACAAUGCGAAAAAGAGUGAUUGUUGUCAUUAUUCCGUCAGUAAGUUCGUUUGCUGCUAAAAGAAGUAAUUAAAAAAUUUAUUCUGUCACAAGUAACUGAAAAAAAGUUUGUUUUUUUUUUUAUUUUAUCUCAUUGUAGACAUCUUUUGGUCGUUAUUCUCAUUAAAUUCGAGUCCGGAGAUGCGUUUGAAAAUUCAUGCGAAAAAAGUCUGCUUUGGUGACGAGAGGAAAGAGCGGUUGAAAUGUUCUUAGGUUCCUGAAAUUUUUGUUUUUAAAAAUAUUUUUGAUGAAUUUUAUUAUUUUUUUUUAAUCUGGGAUAUUCAAUAAUUUUUUAUUAUUAUAAAUGUUUUUUUUUUCAAAAAAUCCUUAAUUUUUUAAAAAAAUAAACUUAAAAAAUUUAAAUUCAAAUUAAUUUAAGAAAAAAUUAUUUAAAUU